GCCUCCGUGGCGCAAUCAGCAGCGCGUUCGGCUGUUAACCGAAAGGUCGGUGUUUCGAACCCACCCGGGGGCG
rnacentral:tRNA from 1 species